GCCUAGCUCAGUUGGUAGGGCAUGAGACUCUUAAUCUCAGGGCCGUGGGUUUGAGCCCCGUGUUAGGCA